rnacentral:rRNA from 1 species
UACGAAGGGGGCUAGCGUUGUUCGGAAUUACUGGGCGUAAAGCGCGCGCAGGCGGUCCUUCAAGUCAGAGGUGAAAGCCCAGAGCUCAACUCUGGAAUGGCCUUUGAGACUAGAGGACUUGGGUACGGGAGAGGUGAGUGGAAUUCCGAGUGUAGAGGUGAAAUUCGUAGAUAUUACGGAAGAACACCAGUGGCGAAGGCGGCUCACUGGCCCGUUACCGACGCUCAGGCGCGACAGCGUGGG